UCAGGACGAACGCUGGCGGCGUGCCUAAUACAUGCAAGUCGAGCGGACUUUUAAAAGCUUGCUUUUAAAAGUUAGCGGCGGACGGGUGAGUAACACGUGGGUAACCUGCCUGUAAGACUGGGAUAACUCCGGGAAACCGGGGCUAAUACCGGAUAACUUCUUUCCUCGCAUGAGGAAAGAUUGAAAGAUGGCUUCGGCUAUCACUUACAGAUGGACCCGCGGCGCAUUAGCUAGUUGGUGAGGUAACGGCUCACCAAGGCGACGAUGCGUAGCCGACCUGAGAGGGUGAUCGGCCACACUGGGACUGAGACACGGCCCAGACUCCUACGGGAGGCAGCAGUAGGGAAUCUUCCGCAAUGGACGAAAGUCUGACGGAGCAACGCCGCGUGAGUGAUGAAGGUUUUCGGAUCGUAAAACUCUGUUGUUAGGGAAGAACAAGUAYCGUUCGAAUAGGGCGGUACCUGAC
rnacentral:rRNA from 1 species